rnacentral:tRNA from 1 species
UAGAAUGUGGUGUAAUGUGGGAGCACGGAGAACUUUGGAUUCUUAGGUGCAGGUUCGAUUCCUGUGUUUCUAG